AUGCUAAAGACUGGGGCUCAACCCCAGGGGUGCGUUGGAUACUGUGAGGCUAGACGGUCGGAGGGGGUAGCGGAAUUUCCGGAGUAGCGGUGAAAUGCGCAGAUACCGGAAGGAACGCCAAUAGCGAAGGCAGCUACCUGGACGACUUGUGACGCUGAGGCGCGAAAGCGUGGGGAGCAAACCGGAUUAGAUACCCGGGUAGUCCACGCCCUAAACCAUGAGUGCUGGGUGUCCGGCUUCUGCUGGGUGCCGUAGCUAACGCGCUAAGCACUCCGCCUGGGAAGUACGCACGCAAGUGUGAAACUCAAAGGAAUUGACGGGGGCCCGCACAAGCGGUGGAGCAUGUGGUUUAAUUCGAAGCGACGCGAAGAACCUUACCAGGCCUUGACAUGCCCGGAACCCCUCUGAAAGGAGGGGGUGCCCGCAAGGGAGCCGGGACACAGGUGCUGCAUGGCCGUCGUCAGCUCGUGUCGUGAGAUGUUGGGUUAAGUCCCGCAACGAGCGCAACCCCUAUCCCUAGUUGCCAGCAGUUCGGCUGGGCACUCUAUGGAGACUGCCUGCGAAAGCAGGAGGAAGGCGGGGAUGACGUCUGGUCCGCAUGGCCCUUACGGCCUGGGCGACACACGUGCUACAAUGCCAAGGACAGAGCGCUGCUACCUCGCGAGAGGACGCCAAUCGCAAAAACCUUGGCUCAGUUCGGAUUGGAGUCUGCAACUCGACUCCAUGAAGC
rnacentral:rRNA from 1 species